UACGUAGGGGGCAAGCGUUGUCCGGAUUUACUGGGCGUAAAGAGCGUGUAGGCGGCCAAACAGGUCCGUUGUGAAAACUGGAGGCUCAACCUCCAGACGUCGACGGAAACCGUGUGGCUAGAGUCCGGAAGAGGAGAGUGGAAUUCCUGGUGUAGCGGUGAAAUGCGCAGAUAUCAGGAAGAACACCAAUGGCGAAGGCAGCUCUCUGGGACGGUACUGACGCUGAGACGCAAAAGCGUGGGGAGCGAACAGG
rnacentral:rRNA from 1 species